rnacentral:rRNA from 1 species
UACGGAGGGUGCAAGCGUUGUCCGGAAUCACUGGGCGUAAAGGGCGCGUAGGCGGCCCGGUAAGUAGGGGGUGAAAUCCUGCGGCUUAACCGCAGGGCUGCCUUCUAAACUGUCGGGCUCGAGCACGGUAGAGGCAGAUGGAAUCCCGGUGUAGCGGUGGAAUGCGUAGAGAUCGGGAAGAACAUCAGUGGCGAAGGCGGUCUGCUGGGCCGUUGCUGACGCUGAGGCGCGACAGCGUGGGGAGCAAACAGG